rnacentral:rRNA from 1 species
UACGAAGGGGGGCUAGCGUUGCUCGGAAUCACUGGGCGUAAAGGGUGCGUAGGCGGGUCUUUUAAGUCAGGGGUGAAAUCCUGGGGCUCAACUCCAGAACUGCCUUUGAUACUGAGGAUCUUGAGUUCGGGAGAGGUGAGUGGAACUGCGAGUGUAGAGGUGAAAUUCGUAGAUAUUCGGAGGAACACCAGUGGCGAAGGCGGCUCACUGGCUCGGUACUGACGCUGAGGUGCGAAAGCGUGGGGAGCAAACAGG